AAUGCAGCUUUAACAUAAUUUUAUGUCCCUAAAACUAGCAUUUUUCUCGUUAAAUCAUCACCUGGAGAAAAUUCACACGAGACACUUGAUGCCUGCUGCACCUCCUGGUGGGCAUCCAGAAGAUCCAGGAUCCCAAGACGAGCAACGAGGAACCCCAGGCUAACUCCAGGAUCCUGGCCCAAAACUGGCUGAGCCACCAGCACCAACCGAAACGCCUCCAGUUGCCCAUCAGGCCGUAGAGCCAGAGAAGACUACAAAUCUGAAGGUUGCAGCACAUGAUGCCAAGGCAGGCACACACGGCCAUUACUCGCUUGGCACACCUCUCGAUCCUUUGUAAAGGAAGCCCAGGAGGAAGUGAUGACCUGAGGAACGUAUUUGAAUGGCAGAGGGACUUCAUGAGUAUUUCUAGGCAAAACGGAAGACCCCAACAGAGUGACAGAGUCUGCAGCAAAAGAGGGAAGAGUGGAAAGAAAGCGGAGAAAUAUAAGUCUGCGCCCAGCAAGACUGUGCAGUGUGAUACAAGCAGCCCCACAACAACUUGAGGCUGCUGUAACAUGACUGGGAAAAGGAACAAUUUGAACCUCCUGGGCGUGAUAAGUGUGAGGGUGACCUGAGCCCACAGCAACAGCUGCAUGGGAAUGUUCUGCAGUGCUGCCAGCGUAGUGUGAGACACGAUCUGACGAGUACCAUAAGGAUCCAGCAGCAAGUGAACGGCCCGCAGAGCGCCACUCACGAUCAGGGCGCUGUUAGCCAGCAGCAGCGUACCACAGUGGGGGUAAGGGAGAGUGGAGGCACCGGCCAUUCCUAAAACGGCCACGGACGCCAUCAGAAUGAAGAGGCUGGCCGAGCCGAAGACGUGGAUUUCCCAGGCGAACGCCAGCGUGCGCCUCAUGUCGUCCCACAGCAGGUUGGUGCCGUUGUAAUUGGUGAGAACGACACAAGGACUUGGAAUGCAGGGUCGUCCAGAUCCUGACAAAUUGGUCACCGAGGAAAAACCACGGGUUUCGACAGAGUGGUCUGCACCUGUCGGAGGGGGAGGAUAAGUCUUAUUUUUUCUUCAUCUUUUAUUUUUUUUUUGUCAAUACUAUUGAACUAAUCGCAGAUGAAUCAUGUCUUGAAGCAAUUGAAGCAAAGGUAGUUGGGUGUUGUCAAGCUUAACAUGUCCAUUCUGACAGAGUGAAAUAUCAAGAAUAUGACUUGAUUUAUAAACCUUUCAGUUGAUUUAUAAACCUUUCAGAAAUGUAUUUGUUAAACAGUACACACCGCAGCUGGCUACCUGAAUCACGUUAUCGAGUGAAGGUCCUUUCAGUGCAAACAUUAGCUCAAAAAAGGUCCACCCUGUCAUUGUUCACCCUGGCAACAAGCUCACAUAUUUCUUUGCGUGAACAUUGCAGUUAGUUUAUCUAUUCAAAAGGUGUGAGCUUGAUCAACGAGGAUUCCUACCAGCAUUGAAACAAUGAAUAUGAAAUUCAAUGGAAAAUCUUAACCUUUUGUAGCAGAAAUAUUGAGUUCUCAAAGACACCUUGUGGAGAUAUUGACUCAAUUAUCACUUACCUGUCUGAGGACGAUUAUCAACUCCUGCGCGUCUGCCUUCCGAAAGAGUGUCCUGCGAUUUUACACUGGAUUGAGUGACCAUUGUCACCGAAGAAUUUCUAUUGGCUAUUCCAGGCAGUGAGUGAGGAAGCGUUACGGUCGAGGCACCGGUUGAUGCCGACUCGUUUUGCUUUCUUGUUUCCUCUGUAAUAGGAAGGACUGCGCUAUCCACUCUAUUUCCACUGCCUAGCACGCUGUUGUUCCCUCUGACUUCACUCACAGGAUGGAUGAUGGUCUCUGUGCUUUGAGUCCUUCCAAGUGAAUCGCCGUGAGAAUCUGAAAAGCUUCCAAAUGAAGGCUGACACAAUGCCAGAGUAAUGACAAGCAAAGAGGAGCACUCCAUUCUUUCCCAGUUGAAUCCCAAACCUGUCAAAUAAAGCGGGAUGAAAAA